GUGUGUGUGUGUGUGUGUGUGUGUAAGAAAAUGCCAAAACAAGGGGGAAGAGCAAGCACAAAAUUGGAAGGAUAGAAAAAAAGACCAUUCAUUCUCAGGAGCGAUCACACUCGAGAGUCAGCAACAACAGGCAAGCUUUUCGAUGUCGGCACCCAGACGCACAAGGCAAAGCUUCCGCAGGGUGAGAUGCACACCCCAAGAUAGAGAGGCAAACUGGACGGAGCCUUAGAGAAAUAGGACUCCCGCCUGGAAUGGAUGGAAGAGAAAACACCAGUGAAAUGAUAUACGUCUCAUCCAACCCAGGAAACUACGUGGUGAAGAGUGGAGGAGGAUUAGGUGAAGAUUAAGGGAGGGAGAAAGAAAGGGAGAGGAAAAUUGGGUGAAAAUUAAGAGAGGAAGAAAGAAAGGUAGAGGAAAAUUAGGUAAAAACUAAGGGAAGGAGAAAGAAAAGUAAAGGAAAAUUAGGUGAAGAUUAAGGGAGAGAGAAAGAAAAGUAGAGGAAAAUUGGGUGAAGAUUAAGGAAGGGAGAAAGGUAGAGGAAAAUUAGGUGAAGAUUAAGGGAGGAAAAAAGAAAGGUGAAGGAGAAUUAAGUGAAGAUUAAGGGAGAGAGAAAGAAAGGUAGAGGAAAAUUAGGUGAAGAUUAAGGGAGAGAGAAAGAAAGGUGAAGAAGAAUUAAGUGAAGAUUAAGGAAGGAGAAAGAAAGGCAAUAUCGUGAGUAGUGUAGAGGACCCCAGAUAUUGGGGAACUCUGAGAAAAGUAUAGUUGAAGCAGAUACUUGCAGCAGGGGGUUAACUCAGUGGAAUUGAUGAGAGAUGGUUCCCUAGAUCCCAUAUAUACUUAGUACUCAGCAUGGGGAUGUCAUGGUUCUCCAGUUCGCACAUGCUCAGUGUGCUGUAGUGAGGUAAUUGUACUAAGGUAUAUAAGGGCGGAGAGGACUGAAAAUGAGACCCUCCAUCUUUGCUCAGCCUCCUGGAGGCUCUCCUGCCUCCUGCCUCCUCCACUAAGACCGAGGCUGGUCCCAAGAUCCUUCAGAGAGCCAGUCUGGACAUUACAGAGUAAACUAAAGACCACCGGUCCAGAGGGAGGAAACAGACCCCAAGGCUGACCUCAAAGUAGGCUAUUCUGGCAAAGGGGACUCAACCCUGUCUGUGCUAAAGAUAGAGAAGCUGAUCAAUUCCAAACUCGCCUUAAUGACAGUUUCCUUCUUCAAAAGGGACAGGAAGCAACAAGAGGAACCGUAACUGUGGACCUGAGUCUCCCCAGCAAGAAGGAACUGGGAGUUGAAGGAGAAACGAUAGGAACGGAGGGGCAAAGGAGCCCUCCGGAAUCUGUGACAGACAAGGAAGAGAAACCUGGCCACGGCUGCGUUUGAGGGAGGGCGGCUUGCAAACGGUUCCGAGAAAGAGGGCAGAAUCCCAAGCCGCGAGGAACAGAAGGCUCAACAACGGAUUUCUUAAAAACCCAAACCUGUGCGAUGUUGAUGAGGGAACAGUCGAUAAGCAUUUAGUAAGCACCUACUAUGUGCCAAGCACAGAGCUAAAGAAAAGGAGGAAUAUCAAUGUAGAUUCCCAGCAACAAUUAUCUAUUUUGUUUUCUUUUAAAGACAUUUAAAGAUGGAAGCCAGGACAAAAACAACAACAACAACAACAACAAUAACCAUUAAGCUCCUACUGAGUUCUAGGCAAAGAUAUCCAACUAAAACCAUCUCCACCUUCAUGGAACUGACAUUCUAUUGGGGGAGAAAAUCCAAAGCAAGAGAACGAACACAAGGAGAGACAGAAACCACUGCUCAGAGAUGUUGGGAUGAUGCUAAUGAGCAGCAAAUGAAAGCAGAACUUUGAGUAAGAAGUUGGUUUCUAGUUUUCUUUUUCUGUUUUCUCAAAUAGAGGCUAACUGGGUUCAUGGAGAUCCAGUGCACAUUAAGUAACCAGGAAAUCACACGCCAAGGCCUUAGUAAGGGAGCCCUGACCUGCCAGAGAUGCCGUUCUAAUCCCUCGGUCCAGGUAAACAAUGAUACUCUUUCGAGGGGUAUGGAAAAGGGAGAAGCCCUGGGAGAGAUACCGUGGGACCAGUGCAGAGGCGAAUGUCCCCAUUUAAAAAAAAAAAAAAACAGAGUCUACAACUGCUAGUUCCAUUCCUGUAGAAAUUAGAAGGAUGGUUUGGGGGCCUUUAGAAAGGGAAGCAGUGAUCCCAAAGGGCCAGUCCCAAAGGAUGCUCCCGACCACACACAGUAAACAUAGCUUAUCCAGGUUUUAGCUGAACAUGUAACCAAGCUUUCUUGGUUAAGGCCCCAACGCAAAGAUGGGCCGAGGUGAUCGCAAAUGUGUGUGUUCAGGUUUGGACGUUUGAUUAAUUGUCUAAUUAUAAUUAAUAGUAAAUAAAUAAAGAUAAAGCUCAAAAAUAAAUAAAUAAAUGAGGAAGUGGGCAAAAAUAAAAAUAAUGAAUCAUAAUUAAUAUUUAAAAAUAUCUAAUUAAACAAACCCAAAUUAAACCCAAAGAGUAAGAACUUGGAGAGAGGUUCCCGGUGAAAUUUCCCAGAAAACCGUCCUUGGCCCAUGUGAUCUGACUUUUUUACCGAUGAUAUAAAUAAUGUUACACUGAUCCCUCUUGCAAAGAACACAAUGUUGGAAGGCAGAGGUAACAAACUAAAUAAAGUUGAUUCAGAAGGAAAGUUGUCUCUGCAGAUUGUAUCACUGGACCAAUCAAAUGAGAUACAAUGUAACACCCGUAAAUGGAAAGUGCCAGACUUGGGUCCAAAAAGCAACUUCGCAAGGAAAGAGUGAAAUGUGAGGAGGACGCGUGUGGAAAAAACACUCAGGCGAGCGAGUGGACUCCAAGUGCAGAAAGUGAGCAGGUUACGGGGAAGCCACAGAGCUAACGGCUGCUUUGAGAAAGGGGGAGUGUCCGGGACCCUGUUUAGGCUGGAUCAGGGUACGGCGCUUCUAGGCCACACGUACAGAAGGAAGUUCCAGGACAAAGACAAGCUGGACCAUGGCCAGAGAAGAGUAAUCAGCAUUGGGAAGGGUCCUGAUCGUGCCCGGUAAGGGUCACUGGGAAAAACUGGUAAAGUUAAUCGGGAGGAAAUGGAGAGGACACAGGAGGGCUGCCCCCAGUCUUUGGGGCAAAGAGCAGAGAACUGUGGCUAAGGGAGGGAGGCGGGGAGAGGUGCAGAGAGCCAGCUUAGGACCAAAAGACGGACACGCUUAACUAUCAGCUGCCUGGGCAGGUGGUGAGACUCCCGUUACUGGAGGAGUCCAAGGAGACCAUAGCGUGAUACAGAGAUCGGGGAUGCGAGGGCUGCUCUGGCAGGCUCUGACCCCCCCCACUCUGAGAUGCUCAGAUGCUGUGGACACCCCUCACACACACACAUACACACACACACUCACCACCUCCCAGCC